rnacentral:tRNA from 1 species
GCGCGGUUAACUCAGUGGUAGAGUGCCACCUUCACACGGUGGAAGUCAUUGGUUCAAACCCAAUAUCGCGUA